rnacentral:rRNA from 1 species
CCUACGGGUGGCAGCAGUGAGGAAUAUUGGUCAAUGGGCGGAAGCCUGAACCAGCCAAGUCGCGUGAGGGAUUAAGGCCCUGCGGGUCGUAAACCUCUUUUGCCGGGGAGCAGUGGUCCGGACGCGUCCGGACCGGGAGAGUACACGGAGAAAAAGCAUCGGCUACCUCCGUGCAAGCUGGCGCGGUAGUACGGAGGAUGCGAGCGGUAUCCGGAUGUAGUGGGUUGAAGGGGUGCGUAGGCGGGCAUUUAAGCCGGCGGUCAAAUGUCGGGGCUAAACCCCGGCCGGCCGUCGGAACUGGGUGGCUAGAGUGGGCGAGAGGUAUGCGGAAUGCGUGGUGUAGCGGUGAAAUGCAUAGAUAUCACGCAGAACCCCGAUUGCGAAGGCAGCAUACCGGCGCCCUACUGACGCUGAGGCACGAAAGCGCGGGUAUCGAACAGGAUUAGAUACCCUUGUAGUC